UGCCCAAUGAUUAAGGUUUAAUGGCUGCAGUAUUUUGACUGUACAAAGGUAGCAUAAUCAUUUGUCUUUUAAUUGGAGUCUGGAAUGAAUGGCUGGAUGAGAAAUAUACUUUAUUUAUUUUAAAUUCAAGAAUUUAACUUUUUAGUCAAAAGGCUAAAAUUUAUUUAUAGGACGAGAAGACCCUAUAGAACUUUAUUUUUUAAUUAAGUGGUUUGUUUAGUUUAUAACUUAAAUUUAUUAGUUGGAAAAUUUUGUUGGGGUGACAGAAAAAAUAUAAUAACUUUUUCUAUUUUUUUCAUUUAUUUAUGACUUUUGAUCCUCUAUUAUGGAUAGGAAGAUUAAGUUACCUUAGGGAUAACAGCGUUAUUAUUUUGGAGAGUUCAUAUCGAUAAAAUAGUUUGCGACCUCGAUGUUGGAUUAAAAUUAGGCAUAGGAGUAGGAUAUUAUGUCUCUAGGUCUGUUCGACCUUUAAAUUUUUACAGUUCUUUUGUUUAUAUAAAAGAUCUGGUC
rnacentral:rRNA from 1 species